rnacentral:misc_RNA from 1 species
UUUCCGUAGGUGAACCUGCGGAAGGAUCAUUAAAAAUGAAGCCGGGAAACCGGUCCUUCUCACCCUUGAUUAUCUCAAAUUGUUGCUUUGGUGGGCCGCGCAAGCACCGGCUUCGGCUGGAUCGUGCCCGCCGGAGGACCACAACUCUGUAUUAUAUGUCGUCUGAGUACUAUAAAAUAGUUAAAACUUUCAACAACGGAUCUCUUGGUUCUG